CCGAUCCAAAAAGAAGGGGGUCUAAUUCAUUGGUAUUGAGCGGCGCACUGGAGAAGGCGAGAUUUCACGCACACCCAAGAGGAGGAGAACGACACAUGGACAGAGAGGGAUGCUGCCUCAUGCAAUUGGAACAAUAGCAUAUUUGAAGGAUUUGCUUCAGGGUUAAUUCUUCUUUUGUGUGUUUAUUUAUUUAUUUAUAUGAACAUGAGUAGCUAAACUCUAGAUUAAUCCUUAGGGGAUUCUUAUUAUUAUUUCUCUUGAACUUUGUGAUUAUCAUAUGUUAUGAUUAAUGAAUUACGAAGUUAGUUUCUUCAAUCAUUCUUUGUUCUUAAUGCUUUGCAUAACUUGAUCAAUAAUGCUUUGCAUAACUUGAUCAAUUGUGUAAUGUUUUCAAUUAUUUGUUUUACUAUGACGAUAGGAAUGAAUGAUCGAUCUAUGAACGAUUGAUCAAUUAACUUUCACUUAAGACAUUUCGGAUCGUUAAUUGAGAUUAAAGGAUUAAAGAUUGUAAACCUCAAUUGAUCAUAGAUUACCUAAGACAUUAGGGAUCGAUGAUCAAAGGAGAGAAUUAUGUUACCAAGACAUUGGGCAUAAUUAUUUUUGAUUUAAUCUAAUCGUGAAACUAAAUUGAGUAAAUUUGUUAUUAUACAUGAAAUUACCAAGAGAAGUAGUAAUUAGNNNNNNNNNNNNNNNNNNNNNNNNNNNNNNNNNNNNNNNNNAACCAAGUUAAACUCCCCCCUUUGCAUUUUAAUUAUUAAUCCUAAAUUAAUUUAAUUGUUUUGUCGAGAUUGAAACAAUCCCUGUGGAUACGAACUUUAUAAAUUUUAUUAUUUGACGACUAUUUAGUAUACUUGCUAAAUUUCUAUCACUUGAUUUUUAACUCAUUUUUUUAAUUAGUUAGUUUUCCUUUGUUGUAGAUUUGUUAUGGGUCAGUGGAGGGCCCAAGAUUAUGGGUUAUAGUUCUUGCUUCGAGGCAUUAAAAGAGGUGUAAAUAGCCUAUAAGAUCUGCAAGAAAAGUAACAUUUUGUGAUGCUCCAAUCAUGUAUCUCAUACAACCCUCCAUUAUGUAGAUGAUUUUUUAAUUUGUUUGCAUUUUCUAAUAUGUCUAAUGUGUGUAGAAAAUUUGGAUAUGAUCUAGUAUUGCACCUCUAAGGAUCACAAGUUCAGAUCUUCUUUGUGUACCAGUGAUGUAAAUUAGACAUUUUGUACCCUUAGUUCAACUGCUAUGUGAUUCAGUGAUUGGGCUUGACAAUGUAAAUGUGCAG
rnacentral:lncRNA from 1 species